rnacentral:rRNA from 1 species
AGGAUGAACGCUGGCGGCGUGCCUAACACAUGCAAGUCGAACGUGAUCCAUGACUUCGGUUGUGGUGAAAGUGGCAAACGGGUGAGUAACGCGUGGGAAUCUGCCCAGAGGUAGGGAAUAACCGCGGGAAACUGCGGCUAAUACCCUAUGUGCCCUACGGGGCAAAGAUUUAUCGCCUUUGGAGGAGCCCGCGUCGGAUUAGGUAGUUGGUAAGGUAACGGCCUACCAAGCCUACGAUCCGUAGCUGGUCUGAGAGGAUGAUCAGCCACACUGGGACUGAGAUACGGCCCAGACUCCUACGGGAGGCAGCAGUGGGGAAUAUUGGACAAUGGGGGCAACCCUGAUCCAGCAAUGCCGCGUGAGUGAUGAAGGCCUUCGGGUUGUAAAGCUCUUUCGGCGGGAAGAUGAUGACGGUACCCGCAGAAGAAGCCCCGGCUAACUUCGUGCCAGCAGCCGC